UACGUAGGGGGGCAAGCGUUUGUCCGGAUUUAUUGGGCGUAAAGAGCGUGUAGGCGGCCUGAAAGGUCAGCUGUGAAAACUCGAGGCUCAACCUCGAGACGUCGGUUGAAACCAUCUGGCUAGAGUCCGGAAGAGGAGAGUGGAAUUCCCGGUGUAGCGGUGAAAUGCGCAGAUAUCGGGAAGAACACCCGUGGCGAAGGCGGCUCUCUGGGGCGGUACUGACGCUGAGACGCGAAAGCGUGGGGAGCGAACAGG
rnacentral:rRNA from 1 species